GACGAACGCUGGCGGCGUGCCUAAUACAUGCAAGUAGAACGCUGAAGAGAGGAGCUUGCUCUUCUUGGAUGAGUUGCGAACGGGUGAGUAACGCGUAGGUAACCUGCCUUGUAGCGGGGGAUAACUAUUGGAAACGAUAGCUAAUACCGCAUAACAAUGGAUGACACAUGUCAUUUAUUUGAAAGGGGCAAUUGCUCCACUACAAGAUGGACCUGCGUUGUAUUAGCUAGUAGGUGAGGUAAUGGCUCACCUAGGCGACGAUACAUAGCCGACCUGAGAGGGUGAUAUGCCAAACUGGGACUGAGACACGGCCCAGACUCCUACGGGAGGCAGCAGUAGGGAAUCUUCGGCAAUGGGGGCAACCCUGAACGAGCAACGCCGCGUGAGUGAAGAAGGUUUUCGGAUCGUAAAGCUCUGUUGUAAGUCAAGAACGGGUGUGAGAGUGGAAAGUUCACACUGUGACGGUAGCUGACCAGAAAGGGACGGCUAACUACGUG
rnacentral:rRNA from 1 species